UGCGAUUUGGCGCAGAGGAAGCGCGCCAGGCUCAUAACCUGGAGGUCGCCAGAUCGAAACUGGCAAUCGCAA